CUAUGAGACAGGUGCUGCAUGGCUGUCGUCAGCUCGUGUUGUGAAAUGUUGGGUUAAGUCCCGCAACGAGCGCAACCCUUAUCCUUUGUUGCUAGCAGGUAAUGCUGAGAACUCAAAGGAGACUGCCAGUGAUAAACUGGAGGAAGGUGGGGACGACGUCAAGUCAUCAUGGCCCUUACGAGUAGGGCUACACACGUGCUACAAUGGCGUAUACAGAGGGCGGCGAACCUGCGAAGGUAAGCGAAUCUCAGAAAGUACGUCUAAGUCCGGAUUGGAGUCUGCAACUCGACUCCAUGAAGUCGGAAUCGCUAGUAAUCGCGAAUCAGAAUGUCGCGGUGAAUACGUUCCCGGGCCUUGUACACACCGCCCGUCACACCAUGGGAGUGGGUUGUACCAGAAGUAGAUAGCUUAACCUUAGGGAGGGCGUUUACCACGGUAUGAUUCAUGACUGGGGUGAAGUCGUAACAAGGUAACCGUAGGGGAACCUGCGGUUGGAUCACCUCCUUA
rnacentral:rRNA from 1 species